AACGAACGCUGGCGGCAGGCCUAACACAUGCAAGUCGAGCGGACCUUUCGGGGUCAGCGGCGGACGGGUGAGUAACGCGUGGGAAUAUGCCCUUCUCUACGGAAUAGUCCUGGGAAACUGGGGGUAAUACCGUAUACGCCCUUUGGGGGAAAGAUUUAUCGGGGAAGGAUUAGCCCGCGUUGGAUUAGGUAGUUGGUGGGGUAAUGGCCUACCAAGCCGACGAUCCAUAGCUGGUUUGAGAGGAUGAUCAGCCACACUGAGACUGAGACACGGCCCAGACUCCUACGGGAGGCAGCAGUGGGGAAUCUUAGACAAUGGGGGCAACCCUGAUCUAGCCAUGCCGCGUGAGUGAUGAAGGCCUUAGGGUUGUAAAGCUCUUUCAGCUGGGAAGAUAAUGACGGUACCAGCAGAAGAAGCCCCGGCUAACUCCGUG
rnacentral:rRNA from 1 species